UACGUAGGGACCAAGCGUUGUUCGGAUUUACUGGGCGUAAAGGGCGCGUAGGCGGCGUGGUAAGUCACUUGUGAAAUCUCUGAGCUUAACUCAGAACGGUCAAGUGAUACUGCUGUGCUAGAGUGCGGAAGGGGCAAUCGGAAUUCUUGGUGUAGCGGUGAAAUGCGUAGAUAUCGGGAAGAACACCCGUGGCGAAGGCGGCACUCUGGGACGGUACUGACGCUGAGACGCGAAAGCGUGGGGAGCGAACAGG
rnacentral:rRNA from 1 species